rnacentral:rRNA from 1 species
UCAGGAUGAACGCUGGCGGCGUGCCUAACACAUGCAAGUCGAGCGGAGAGCCGUAACGGAAGCCUCGGGUGGAAGAUGCGGUUACUAGCGGCGGACGGGUGAGUAACGCGUGGAUAACCUGGCUCAUACAGGGGGAUAACAGAGAGAAAUUUCUGCUAAUACCGCAUAAGCGCACGUAACCGCAUGGUUAUGUGUGAAAAGCCGAGACGGUAUGAGAUGGAUCCGCGUCCGAUUAGCCAGUUGGCGGGGUAACGGCCCACCAAAGCGACGAUCGGUAGCCGGCCUGAGAGGGCGGACGGCCACAUUGGGACUGAGACACGGCCCAGACUCCUACGGGAGGCAGCAGUGGGGGGUAUUGCACAAUGGAGGGAACUCUGAAUGCAGCGACGCCGCGUGGGUGAAGAAGUAUUUCGGUAUGUAAAGCCCUAUCAGCAGGGACGAUAAUGACGGUACCUGACUAAGAAGCCCCGGCUAACUACGUGCCAGCCGCCGC